rnacentral:rRNA from 1 species
GCUUGUCUCAAAGAUUAAGCCAUGCAUGUCUUAGUGUAAAUAACUCUUAUGAAACUGCGAAUGGCUCAUUAUAUCAGUUAUAGUUUAUUUGAUGGUCCUUGCUACUUGGAUAACCGUAGUAAUUCUAGAGCUAAUACAUGCAAAAAGCCUGGACUUCUGGAACAGGCGUAUUUAUUAGAUGGAAACCAAUGCAGGGCAACCUGGAAUAUGGUGAUUCAUAAUAACUCGCGGAUCGGUUUACCGAUGCAUCAUUCAAGUUUCUGCCCUAUCAGCUUUGGAUGGUAGGGUAUUGGCCUACCAUGGCUUUAACGGGUAACGGAGAAUUAGGGUUCGAUUCCGGAGAGGGAGCCUGAGAAAUGGCUACCACAUCCAAGGAAGGCAGCAGG